UACGUAGGGGGCAAGCGUUGUCCGGAUUUACUGGGCGUAAAGCGCGUGUAGGCGGAAGCGAAAGUCCGGUGUGAAAGCCCCCCGCUCAACGGGGGAAGGUCGCUGGAAACUGCGCUUCUUGAGGGCGGCAGAGGGAAGUGGAAUUGCUGGUGUAGCGGUGAAAUGCGUAGAUAUCGGGAGGAACACCAGUGGCGAAGGCGGCUUCCUGGACCGGCAUUGACGCUGAGGCGCGAAAGCUAGGGGAGCAAACGGG
rnacentral:rRNA from 1 species